AGCCACCCUCUAGCCCAGCCACCUGUAAAUAGAGCAAUAGACACAAUUCAACCCCCUCAUUUAACUAAACCAUUCUCUUGGCCUAGUAUAGGCGAUAGAAAGGCCCACCUUGGCGCCAUAGAGCCCCAGUACCGUAAGGGAAAGAUGAAAUAGCAAUGAAAAGUUUUAAGCAACAAGCAGCAAAGAUCAACCCUUGUACCUCUUGCAUCAUGGUCUAGCAAGAAUAACCAAGCAAAACGAAUUAUAGCUUGCCAUCCCGAAACCUAAGCGAGCUACUUGCAAGCAGCUAUCUAUGGGCUAACCCGUCUCUGUCGCAAAAGAGUGGGAUGACUUGCUAGUAGAGGUGAAAAGCCAAUCGAGCUAGGUGAUAGCUGGUUGCCUGCAAACUGAAUCUCAGUUCACCCUUGAUAGCCCCUCAAAGCAUAAUCCGAAGCCCCACCGUGAAUAUCAAGUGAUAUUUAAAGGGGGUACAGCCCCUUUAAAGGCAGAAAACAGUCUCUCCUAGCGGAUAACCCACACCCUCGCUUCUUCCCCCGUAGGCCUUAAAGCAGCCAUCAACCAAGAAUGCGUCAAAGCUCCAAUCAUAAAAGAUCCCCAAACUACAAGAUUCCCUUUUCCCUAGCAGGCCAACCUAUAGCCGGUAGGAGUACCAAUGCUAGAAUAAGUAACCAGGGGCCACCCCUCUAAAGCGCAACCUUACAUCCACCUAUUAUUAACAAACCUUAGUACUUAAAUUACAACUGGACCAGGUAUUAACUAUAUUGUUGAACCAACUCAGGAGCGCCCAAUAGAAAGAUUUAAAUCUGUAGAAGGAACUAGGCAAACCCAAGGCCCGACUGUUUACCAAAAACAUAGCCUUCAGCCAUCCAAGUAUUGAAGGUGAUGCCUGCCCAGUGACACUUGUUUAACGGCCGCGGUAUCCUAACCGUGCAAAGGUAGCGCAAUCAAUUGUCUCAUAAAUUGAGACCUGUAUGAAUGGCCCAACGAGGUCUUAACUGUCUCCUACAGAUAAUCGGUGAAAUUGAUCUCCCUGUGCAAAAGCAGGGAUACAAGCAUAAGACGAGAAGACCCUGUGGAACUUAAAAAUCAAGGACCACUACACUCUUCAACCGAACCUACCAGGCUCACUCCACCGUAAGCUGGUCCAUAUUUUUCGGUUGGGGCGACCUUGGAGAAAAGUAAAUCCUCCAAAAAUAGGACCACCCCUCCUCACCAAGAAAGACACCUCAACGUGCUAACAGCUACCAGACCCAGUACAACUGACCAAUGAACCAAGCUACCCCAGGGAUAACAGCGCAAUCUCCCCCGAGAGCCCAUAUCGACAGGGAGGUUUACGACCUCGAUGUUGGAUCAGGACAUCCUAAUGGUGCAGCCGCUAUUAAGGGUUCGUUUGUUCAACGAUUAACAGUCCUACGUGAUCUGAGUUCAGACCGGAGCAAUCCAGGUCGGUUUCUAUCUAUGACUAGCCCUUCCCUAGUACGAAAGGACCGGGAAGACAGGGCCACUGUUUCAGACACGCCCUCCCCUUAAGUACUGCUUCCAACUAAACUACUAAAAGGGCAUAACAUACCCUACUCCUAGAAAAGGAACC
rnacentral:rRNA from 1 species